UUACAGCUGUUUUAAUCACGGUAUGUGUUAUCUAUAGUCAACAUUCAGAAGAUACAAUAGCAGAUGGCCAAGAACCGUGCAUAACAUAUCAAGAGCGGAGGGCCUGGCAAGAGGACAACUGUUUAGUCGUUUAUGGGACGAAAAAUCCGGGAACCCGUGUCUACAUUGGCGUGUACGUAAAAAUCCCUUGGUAGUGGGAAUUCGAUAUAAGAGUAGGCC